CAUUUUUUAUACGACCGCAAAAAAAUUUUUGUGGUCGUAUAUUGGUAUGACGUUGGUGUCGUCGUCCGGCGUCGUCCAAAGACACAUUGGUUUUCGCACUCUAACUUUAGUUUAAGUGAAUGGAUCUUUAUGAAAUUUUACCACAAGGUUCAAUACCACAAAAGGAAGGUUGGGAUUGAUUUUGGGGGUUAUGGUAAUAACAGUAAAGGAAUUAGGGGCCAAAAAGGGGCCAAAAAUAAGCAUUUUUGUAACUUCCAGACAUAACUUGUGUGUUAGUGUAUGGAUCUCUCUGACAUUGUACCACAAGGUUCCAUACCACUAAAGGAAUGCUGGGAUUGAUUUUGGAGGUAAUUGCCUCCAAAUUUUAGGAAUUAGGGGCCAAAAAAGGGGCAAAAAACAAGCAUUUUUCUAGUUUCAUGACAAUAACUUGUGUGUAAGUGUAUGGAUCUUUCUGAAAUUGUACUACAAGGUUCCAUAUCACAAAGGGAAAGCUGGGUUUGAGUUUGGGGGUAAUUGCCCUAAACGUUUAGGAAUUUGGGGCCAAAAAGGGGCCAAAAAACACAUUUUUUUCUAGUUUCCAGACAAUAACUUGUGUUCAAGUGUAUGGAUCUCUCUGAAAUUGUACUGCAAGGUACCAUACCACAAAGGGAAGGCUGGGAUUGAGUUUGGGGGUGAUGAAUCAUAAUGGGGGUUCAAAAAAUUUUGGGGGGGGAUUUAUUUUUUUUCCUUUUUUUCCUUUUUUGUUUCUUUUAAAAUUUUCCAUUUUAAGUUGGUUAUUUCUGAUUUAUAUUUAAAAUCAAAUAAUAAUGAUAUGGUAGGAGAUACACACCAAACAGGAUGUGUAAAUUAUUAUAUAAUAAGUAUUGUGCAAUAGCAAGAAAUUUUCAAUUGCACAGUAUUGCACAAUAGCAAGAAAUCUUCAAUUGCACAGUAUUGCGCAAUAGCAAGAAAUCUUCAAUUGCACAGUAUUGCGCAAUAGCAAGAAAUAUCCAAUAGCACAAUAUUGCUCAAUAGCAAGAAAUUGUCAAUUGUACAGUAUUGCGCAAUAGCAAGAAAUAUUUAAUAGCACAGGAUUGUGCAAAAGAAGAUACUUCCUAUAAAUUGCUUAUUUCUUGACCAAUUUCAAUGGGGUUUUAUUCUUGAUUUCAUGGGGUUCUUUAAUAUGCUGAAUCUAACCGUGUAUUUAGUUUUUGGAUUUUGGGCCCCGUUUUUAAAUUGGUCCACAUUGAGGUCCAAAGGGUCCAAAAUUAAACUUUGUUUGAUUUCAUCAAAAAUUGAAUUAUUGGGGUUCUUUGAUAUGCCAAAUCUAACUGUGUAUUUAGAUUCUUAAAUUUUGGUUCCGUUUUCAAAUUGGUCUACAUUAAGGUCCAAAGGGUCCAAAAUUAAACUUAGUUUGAUUUUAACAAAAAUUGAAUUCUUAGGGUUCUUUGAUAUGCUGAAUCUAAACAUGUAUUUAGAUUUUUGAUUAUGGGCCCAGUUUUCAAGUUGGUCCAAAUCGGGGUCCAAAAUUAAACUUUGUUUGAUUUCAACAAAAAUUGAAUAUAUGGGGUUCUUUGAUAUGCUGAAUCUAACCAUGUAUUUAGAUUUUUGAUUUUUGGGCCCCGUUAUCAACUUUGUCCACAUUGAGGUCAAAAGGGUCCAAAAUUAAACUUUGUUUGAUUUCAUCAAAAAUUGAAUUAUUGGGGUUCUUUGAUAUGCUGAAUCUAACCAUGUAUUUAGAUUUUGGAUAUUGGACCAUAAUAGAUGAAUGUCCAAUUUAAAAUUUUUAAGUUCUUAGACCACAUUCAAUCUGUGUUAGAAACCUAUGCUGUGUCAAAUAUUUAAUCACAAUCCAAAUCCAAAGCUGUAUCAAGCUUGAAUGUUGUGUCCAUACUUCCCCCAACUGUUCAGGGUUCGACCUCUGCGGUCGUAUCAAGCUGCGCCCUGCGGAGCAUUUUAUUAUGAAAUUUAUAUUAAAGGUUCUUGUUGGCAAUGUC